rnacentral:rRNA from 1 species
CAGCCGCCGCGGUAAUACGUAGGGUGCAAGCGUUAAUCGGGAUUACUGGGCGUAAAGCGUGCGCAGGCGGUUAUAUAAGUCAGAUGUGAAAUCCCCGGGCUCAACCUGGGAACUGCAUUUGAGACUGUAUGGCUAGAGUGUGUCAGAGGGGGGUAGAAUUCCACGUGUAGCAGUGAAAUGCGUAGAUAUGUGGAGGAAUACCGAUGGCGAAGGCAGCCCCCUGGGAUAACACUGACGCUCAUGCACGAAAGCGUGGGGAGCAAACAGGAUUAGAUACCCCAGUAGUCCCUGUCUCUUAUAC